GAGGUCCCUUCCAAUUUAAAUUAUUCUUUGAUAUUUAGCUCAAAACAAACAAUUUUUGACACCAGUUAUUCUGCCUUGGCUUUUUGCUAUCAGCCAGCCUCAGAAGUAAUGUACUGCUCCAUGGGCUGUAGGGUGACUUGGAAGAGCUCUCACUCCUGGAAAAGAAUAAGGGCAGCAAGCCGAGGGAGACUUGGCAGGGUGCUUGAGGCUUUCAUGAUCUAAUUGAAAGGAAGCGCAGAGUUCCACCUCUGUUAGAGCCAGAGCUGGCGUGACUCAUCCUGGAGGGCACUGCUUUACGUGGUCCUUCGCCUGAGCUGUUGCCCUGCUGUGAGAAAUCUGCCAUAAGAGAAAGCUGGAAACAGAUUUAACCUCAUUUUGGAUUGUCCACUGCCAUCCAGGAGCGGUAAGAAUUGUGAAUCCAUUUAUUUUUCCCUUUAAAGCGAAUUGUACUGCCUGCCCAUGGAAACAUAGGGUGCAACUGAGGAAGACACUGCUUUUGUGCAAGAAGUGCCACGAGGAUUAAAGUGCACCAGGUACAAUGGGUGUGGAUGAGUCAGGAGAUCCUGGCUUCAAAUGUGAGCUCUUCAAAGUGGCAUUUGCCUUUUUUGGUGAGACUCACACCGACCUCUCAUUUAAAGAAUGAAGAACCAUAACAAAA